ensembl:lncRNA
CUGAAGUCUUGAGUGUUUCCUGACAUGCUCAUGGUGGGAAUAAAGUAUGGCACACGUCAGCCACACAUAAGGACACAGCCCAUGUAUCAACACAUCUAGAAACUUUUGGCAACACUAAUAUCGAAGCUUUAUUACUACAACACUACAAGACUACUUUCUGUAUUUCCAAUGUACUGUAGUUUAGUAAUCCAUGUUUUUUCUUUAGAUUUCACAUCAUUAGAUUUGUAGGGUGCCAGAGCAGUGUUUGUAGAGGCCUGACUUGUUUAUGCUCUUAUCUGCUUUGCCACUGGAGGAGGCGUGGCUAUCUCUAAGUCCAACCGCUGGGAGUGGUUGAGUGUGGAGAACAAAACGAGAGCCACACCGACAGCCAGAAACAACAGAAGAGGUCUUUGAAAGCAGCACAUUCAGGCUUCAAUCUGACCUCGAAGACACGAGUGUCAUCAUCCAUUGAGGAAACCAGGGCUGAGGUUACAGUUGUGCAGGACGUGGUGGACAGCACAGACAGAGAGGCGCGUUCUUUACUGGACCAGAUGGGUGGCUCACUGAGAGAUGGAGUGUUUGAGGUUCAGUGUGAACUCAUAAACAGGAGAGAAGAGGCCUCUCUGAAAGCUCUGAUAGAUGGUCUUCAGAAAGGAAAGCCCCCGGUGAUCAGUGGAAUGGAGAGGAGUCAGGUUCUGCAAGAACACAGAGUGACCGAGGACCAGGUGACCUGCCUGCUCCACAUGGUGAGGAGGAAAGGGGAACGGGCCUGUGAGAUAUUCCUCUACGGUGAGCUUGGUUUUGAAACAACUCUGUGAUCGAUGAGAGUCCAGUUUAGUGGCCGACCAGAACCGUUGGUUCUAACGUAUGGUUGGGAUAUCGUUGUGUGAAUGUGAUGUGAACCGGAUGCCACAAAAGAUGUGCAUUAAAUGCUGUUCUAAACCAAAUGGAGCUGUGUCUUUGUUUAAGCUGAGUGCCACAAGUGGUGCUAUAGUCUACUUUGAGGAAUGACAGCUCAAUCACUAGCUGUCCAACCAGUUUGUUUUAAGAUGUUGCCUUUUCGAAAUCAUCUGGUUGACACAUUUUUUUUUUUUUUACAUAAUGCCACAGGGUAGUGAGCACAAGUUCAUAGUGCCAAACACGCAUGCUCACUGCACUGUCCUCACUUAGUGUGAGAUUAACACGCAUGCUCACUGCACUGUCCUCACUUAGUGUGAGAUUAACACGCAUGCUCACUGCACUAAUCAUAGUGUGUUCACAUAGCCUACUCAGUACAACGAUUAGUAUUAUAUCACACUAAGGACAGCAUGUGUGGUACUUUCACUGUACACAGUGGUGUAGAUUUAAGCAAUGUUUACCCAGUUCCAUUGACUGUAUUUUAUUACUUUUACUUUGUUUAUAUUUGCUGUGUAAGCCUAUAUUUAUUAUAUAGACAUUGUUGCUUCACCUUACACAAUAUAUUAUUUUAUAUCAUGUUGUUUCUCCUUUUUUACAAAAAACCCAGAGAACACCCAGAUGUCUCUGCUACGGUUUCUUUGCUGGGUGUCAGAUAGGCUUCACACACAUGGCAUUAUUCCCUUGAUUUCAACACUAAUGUCACAUCUUUCUUAAAGCAUAGGCCUAUAUUUCACAGCACUUCAAGAGAGAUUCCUUUUAUACAAUUUCAUGAAUUGAUUCAAAAUAGUUAUAAUAAUAAUAAUAAUAAUACUUUAACUUUAUAUAGCGCUUUUCUAGGUGCUCAAAGACGCUUUACAUAGGGCGAAGAAAAACAAAACAAAGAGAACACAAAAGAGCAAACAAACAAACAAACAGAAC